rnacentral:sRNA from 1 species
UCAGAUGACAUUCCUGAGCUAAUCCGCAGUCUUCAAGAUUUAG